rnacentral:rRNA from 1 species
CCCUUAGAUGUUCUGGGCCGCACGCGCGCUACACUGACGCAUUCAACGAGUCUAAAACCUGGUCUGAUAGGGCUGGGUAAUCUUUUGAAUGUGCGUCGUGAUUGGGAUAAAUGAUUGUAAUUCUUCAUUUUCAACGAGGAAUGCCUAGUAAACGCAAGUCAUCAGCUUGCGUUGAUUACGUCCCUGCCCUUUGUACACACCGCCCGUCGCUCCUACCGAUUGAAUGCUCAGGUGAGCCAUUCGGACUUUCAUCAUGCUGGUUUCCAGUUUUGAUGAAGGAAAGUCUUGCGAACCUUAUCAUUUAGAGGAAGGAGAAGUCGUAACA